GUGAAUCUCCAGGAGCUUACAUAAGUAAGUGACUGGAGUGAGCGGACGAAGCCAACGAAGAGGCAGCGCGAAGGAUGAAGUGGAAAAAGGCUGAGACCGUUAAUUCGGGAUCCGCGGAACCUGAUCAGGUUAAUACCUGCGAAGGGAACAAGAGUAAUUCUGCUU
rnacentral:ncRNA from 1 species